ACUAAAAAUGCUUCGACUUGUGACAGCACUUUGCGUUCUGCUCAGGAUACCAAAUAUUUGCAGUGCCAUCUCAGUAAAACAGCUACCGAGGUUUAUGGUUAAAAAGCCUGGAGACCCCGCUGUGUUCUCCUGCGUGCAUGAUGGGGACAUUAGCUAUGGGAACAUCUACUGGUAUCAACAGCUUAGGGGUCGUGGUGGGCUGCAACUCAUGACCUACUCCUACACCAACAGCGGACCCCAGGAUGAAAAGGAGUUCAAAGGAAGACUGACCACCAGCAGAGACGGUGCACAGAAAGGCAACAUCACAAUCAACAGCCUAGACGUUACCGACACUGGAAUGUAUUUCUGUGCAGCAAGUGAUGCACAGCGAGGCAGCUCCCCUAGAAACCUAACAGAAAACUCCCCGCUGAUGCUGCUAGUAAAUAAGUUUGUGCCCCAUGCCAAAUAUCUUACAAGCACAAGAACAUACCGAGCUGCCGUACCUCUCAAAUAUCCCUGA